rnacentral:rRNA from 1 species
GAUCAUGGCUCAGGACGAACGCUGGCGGCGUGCUUAACACAUGCAAGUCGAACGAGAAUCUGUGGAACGAGGAUUCGUCCAAGUGAAGCAGAGGACAGUGGCGGACGGGUGAGUAACGCGUGAGGAACCUGCCUUUCAGGAGGGGACAACAGUUGGAAACGACUGCUAAUACCGCAUGACACAUAGAUGUCGCAUGGCAUUUAUGUCAAAGUAUUUAUCGCUAGAAAG